CCUCGCCUGGCCGGCCUCGCCUGGCCGGCCUCGCCUGGCCGGCCUCGCCUGGCCGCUUCUGCUUGCCUUCCCUCAGCUCUUCCGCACCCCGAGCCGAGGACGGAAACUUCUCGAAAUUCCGCCAGAGUCCGCCCUAAAUCUGUGUCCUUCAUUGUGCCUCGAAGGAAUUCCUCAAAGUUCCUCCAUCUGUGAAGAUCUAAUCUCUGCCAGCCUCACAUUAGAGAAUCUUCUAGAUGGAAAUGAUGUAACAACUACUGUGAAAGGCUUAAGCCAAUAAAGAAACUCAUUGGCAAGGCAGAAUGUUUGUGUAAGGGAGCAGAAGAGAGCAGAUCUACCCUACUAAGUGUAUGGUGUCACACCAGCAGAUGGAGAACUACUACCCGACCUGAGAAUCAAAGCAUGUGCAGGCUCGGCCUUCUCCUUCCCUCCAGCUUUCUUUCAUGUCGUCCUUGGCCAACAUCCUUCUCCAAACUGCAGUGGGCAAAAUUUUGUUGCAUCACUGCCUGUCCUUCUCAUGCAUCUAUUCUGCUUCCUUCCGUCACCGAGAAAAUGUAUUUGGAGCUUGCAAUCUUGGAUUGCUCUGGGCUCCUAAGCAAGAGAAGACCAGCACAAUGAAGGGCCUAAUAUUACUUCCUGCAUCUUUUGUCAGCAGGGCUUCCCCAAUGGAAUGGGAUGGAAGCACCUUUUCUGCCAGUGAAGUGCUUUUGCUCCCCUGACAACGGAAAUAUUUAAGGGAAUGUCCAGAAGACAAAGCCCAGGGCAAGACAGUGGGCUUGUGCGCAGGGCAUCCAUAGCCUUUGCCUGAUAUGUGGAAAUCCACUUCUGGUUGCUAGUCCCGGAUCUGUGUCCUUCAUGGAAGGUUCUAGGUGUUACACCAGCAGAUGGAGAACAACUACCCGACCUGAGAAUCAAAGCAUAUGCAGGCUUGGCCUUCUCCUUCCCUCCAGAAUGUUGUCUAAUGUUCAAUGGUAACGGAUUUCCCUAAGAACCUGUGUCCUUGAAGAAUGUUAGGAUCAGAUAUAAUGGGAUUUCACAAUCUUGUUAAAGAGCUAGCAUUAACUUUCCAUUCAUGGUGAUGGCAAUAACACAACCAAGGCUUGCCUUGAUAUUGUCCCUGGCCGAAUUUAUGGUGGUGUCCAGACCCUCGGAACCUGUCCUCAAAUCUAACAGAGAACAUAAUCUACCUUGAAUGAAUGUAAACAGGAAAAGAACUUCCAAUUACCUCAAAGGAAAGCUUGUGUGUGACCCUGUGCAUCCGUGUCAAUAUAUUCUGUUUCUACAGAAUACCCUAUGUGGCCUUGGAUUGGUGUGGGUAUUUAUGAUGUCACUUUGUCCUGCUCCAUCCCAGGAAGACUGACUUCUUUUCAGUAAUUCCCCCAGUUAACCUAAUUAACCCCAGUAAAACCUCUUAAUAACCAAGCUGAUAAGAGCCCCUCUUUCUUUGUUAUCUCAGUAUCUUAGAGGGUAUGCCACCCUGCAUUUGGCAUAAUUAGGGCAGACCCAUUCUGUCCUCUUGUAUUUGGUGUAAUCACCGGGAUACCAAAUAUAUGGGCUUGGGGAGGAUGGCUUCUAUGGGGAAAUCCUCAUCAUUCUCAUACCUGGGGAAAUAGUGGCAUGUCUGCUUGGGCCCAUUUGGUCAUCACUUGAUGUGUGAGUUGUGGCCUGAGACAAAACACAUUGGCUUGGGCAGCUAGGUGGCACAGUAGAUAAAGCACCAGGUCUGGAUUCAGGAGGACCUGAGUUCAAAUCCGGCCUCAGACACUUGACACUUACUAGCUGUGUGACCCUGGGCAAGUCACUUAACCCUCACUGCCCCACCAAAAAAAAAAAAAGAAGAAAAAGAAAGAAAAGAAAACACAUUGGUUUGUGCUUGAAAGGCUUCUUUAUCAGGGUAGGGGGUAGGAAACUUCUUUGCAGGCUUUCAGUUUUUCUCUUUUCUUUUUUAAAAAAUAAACUUGUUUAUUUAAAGUUUUGAAUUCCAAAUUCUAUCCCUCCUCUCUCCCCUCCCUUUCCCCUGCUUGAGGCUGUGAGCAUUCACAUAUUGGUUAUACAUAUGCAGUUAUUUAAAACAUCACCAUAUUAGUCAUUUUGUACAACAAAAAUUGAAUAAAAAUGAA